GCGGGGGUGGGGAUCGGUCCGGGGGAGGCCUGAGGCCGCUGGCUUGUGCGCUGUCUCCGCCGCCCCCCUCUUUCGCCGCCGCCGCCGCCGCCCCGGGCAUGUCGUCCAACUGCACCAGCACCACGGCGGUGGCGGUGGCGCCGCUCAGCGCCAGCAAGACCAAGACCAAGAAGAAGCAUUUCGUGUGCCAGAAAGUGAAGCUAUUCCGGGCCAGCGAGCCGAUCCUCAGCGUCCUGAUGUGGGGGGUGAACCACACGAUCAAUGAGCUGAGCAAUGUUCCUGUUCCUGUCAUGCUAAUGCCAGAUGACUUCAAAGCCUACAGCAAGAUCAAGGUGGACAAUCAUCUCUUCAAUAAGGAGAACCUGCCCAGCCGCUUUAAGUUUAAGGAGUAUUGCCCCAUGGUGUUCCGAAACCUUCGGGAGAGGUUUGGAAUUGAUGAUCAGGAUUACCAGAAUUCAGUGACGCGCAGCGCCCCCAUCAACAGUGACAGCCAGGGUCGGUGUGGCACGCGUUUCCUCACCACCUACGACCGGCGCUUUGUCAUCAAGACUGUGUCCAGCGAGGACGUGGCGGAGAUGCACAACAUCUUAAAGAAAUACCACCAGUUUAUAGUGGAGUGUCAUGGCAACACGCUUUUGCCACAGUUCCUGGGCAUGUACCGCCUGACCGUGGAUGGUGUGGAAACCUACAUGGUGGUUACCAGGAACGUGUUCAGCCAUCGGCUCACUGUGCAUCGCAAGUAUGACCUCAAGGGUUCUACGGUUGCCAGAGAAGCGAGCGACAAGGAGAAGGCCAAGGACUUGCCAACAUUCAAAGACAAUGACUUCCUCAAUGAAGGGCAGAAGCUGCAUGUGGGAGAGGAGAGUAAAAAGAACUUCCUGGAGAAACUGAAGCGGGACGUUGAGGAGAUUCUCGUUCUGUCCCCAG
rnacentral:misc_RNA from 1 species